CCUACGGGAGGCAGCAGUGAGGAAUAUUGGUCAAUGGGCUUACGCCUGAACCAGCCAAGUCGCGUGAGGGAAGACUGCCCUAUGGGUUGUAAACCUCUUUUGUCAGGGAGCAACGCCGGCUACGUGUAGCCGGACUGAGAGUACCUGAAGAAAAAGCAUCGGCUAACUCCGUGCCAGCAGCCGCGGUAAUACGGAGGAUGCGAGCGUUAUCCGGAUUUAUUGGGUUUAAAGGGUGCGUAGGCGGAAUGCCAAGUCAGCGGUAAAAUCGCGGGGCUCAACCUCGCGCCGCCGUUGAAACUGGCGUUCUUGAGUGGGCGAGAAGCAUGCGGAAUGCGUGGUGUAGCGGUGAAAUGCAUAGAUAUCACGCAGAACCCCGAUUGCGAAGGCAGCAUACCGGCGCCCGACUGACGCUGAGGCACGAAAGCGUGGGGAUCGAACAGGAUUAGAUACCCGGGUAGUC
rnacentral:rRNA from 1 species